UAGCCACAGCUGCAUCGGCUGAGACCUUCAUCCUGAUUGUUCCUUGGGUGCUGUUUAGUGCCAGCCACUGAAGAGAACCCCCUUGUUUCCACCCACGUGGCCCCAUCUGGUUUCAGGGCCUCCUCUGUGCUAUUUUGGGGUGUGAGGAGAUCAUUUUUCAACGCCUACAGCAUGCCGGGACUGGGAACUCUGCAUCCUCCCCAACACUUUUCGUGCCGCCAUUUCUUCUCAGGGUCUUGCCUCCUUUCCCAAGCUCAGCCUGUGGAGUAAAGCGCAGGCCCAUCUCUCAGAGCCGAGGUCCAUUAUAUUGCCCAGGCUGGUCUCAAACUCCUGGGCUCAAGUGAUCCUCCCACCUUGGCCUCCCCAAAUGCUGGAAUUACAGUUAUUGCUUGAUGGAUUUUGCUAACUCCCAGGAGAAUCCAAGUGG